rnacentral:sRNA from 1 species
GGUCGCCGCGUUCCAUCGUCGCGCGGCCCUUCGGGCACCCGAGCCCGCAAUGUCGGGCCCCAACGGAGACCUGGGGAUGCCGGUGGAGGCGGGAGCGGAAGGCGAGGAGGACGGCUUCGGGGAAGCAGAAAGAUACAACUUGCUGGGGUAAAGCAGAGCUGGAAUUCAAACCCAAGUGCCCCGACCCCCGAGUCCAAUUCUGAGUUUCGGCUGUUACCAACCUGGAGGACCCUGGGCAGGUUCCUUCCUUCUGAGGCCUCGGUUUCCCUAGCUAUAUACCAUGAGGGGGUUGGACUUUAAGAUGCAGCUGAUUUCCCAGGACUCUGUCAUCUGUGAGGGUGGCUGGCUCUAGGCAACGGGUGCCCUUUCCCAGAACACAGGCACAUGUGCACCCAUAACCCAGAUACGCUCCUCCAGCUCCUCCACCGGCUGCUUCUCCCUUGGUCUCAAGCUGGCAGCCGAGUGUAUAAUACGCUGCCAUCAACUCCAUGCUGGACCAGAUCAACUCCUGUCUGGACCACCUGGAGGAGAAGAAUGACCACCUCCACGCCCGCCUCCAGGAGCUGCUGGAG